GCCUAUGGCCAUACCAUCCUGCGAGUGCCCCAUCCUGUCCGAUUUCAGGCGGGGCCUAGUCAGUACUUGGAUGGGAGACCGUCUGAGAAUACCAGGUGCUGUAGGCU
rnacentral:rRNA from 12 species